AUCAUUAACGAGUUAGGGUUCCCUCUGGGCCCGACCUCCCAACCCUUUGUCUACUUGACCAUCGUUGCUUCGGCGAGCCCGUCCUCACGGACCGCCGGAGGGACCUUCAUUGGCCCUCUGGUCCGCGCUCGUCGGUGGCCCAACCUUUUUAAAAUCUUUAACCAAACGUGCCUCAAUCUAAGUACUAUUUGUUAAAUAAAAGCAAAACUUUCAACAACGGAUCUCUUGGUUCUGGCAUCGAUGAAGAACGCAGCGAAAUGCGAUAAGUAAUGCGAAUUGCAGAAUUCCAGUGAGUCAUCGAAUCUUUGAACGCACAUUGCGCCCUUUGGUAUUCCGAAGGGCAUGCCUGUUCGAGCGUCAUUAUCACCCCUCAAGCCCCCGGCUUGGUGUUGGACGGUUUGGUGGAGGCCCCUUGCGGGCAUCUGCCCCUCCCAAAGACAAUGACGGCGGCCUCGUUGGACCCCCGGUACACUGAGUUCUUCACGGGACACGUAUCGGACACACGGGUUUACGGGGCACGGUCUGCCUCCCCCUCAGGGAGAAUCUUUCUAAGGUUGACC
rnacentral:rRNA from 1 species